rnacentral:lncRNA from 1 species
AUAAUUAUAAUGCUUACUGGGGAUAUUUUUCAGGUGCCUAUUUAUACAACAUAUCUAUCUUGCAUCAUUACAAUGAGAUUUAAUUUUCAUUGAACGUUGAUAAUAUGAUAAGAGAGAGGAAUGAUACAUUUUGGAUGUGGGGUAUGUAGUUAAAGUCGGUGUGUGGGAUAUGGGCGGAACAAUCUCGGGGAAAAAAAUUAAACAAAAUGUGGGAAGUGCGCAACAUUUUUCAAAUCAGCGGGAUUAGGAAAUAGGCAACCCGUGUCACGCCUUCCUCUUUCUAAGUCAACAUAACCAUACCAUACCAUGACUCGUAGUAUUUUUUUCUCAUGGAACUGCCAAACAUGUUUCUUACUUUCCAGGUUUUAUUAAAUGUCUAGUUACCCUUCACAGUCAAAAUUUACUAACAGAAAACAGAGGCAACAAACUAAAUUUAAUGGAGAAGAAAUGGUAUAGUGAAUUUUUUCAGGAUACAAAUUCCUAAACAGUUAGGCUUUCAAAUCGCAGCAUGAAGUAACAUCUCUUGUAAAUGCCAUCACUAGUAAUAGUGAUAGGAAUUAUUUGAUAGAUUUUAAAAUGCUACAACGGUAUUGAAAAAAACAUAUGCGGGAAAAUAUCAACCAACAACAUAAUAUUAAGAUAACAAACAUCUUGCUAGAUUUCCUUUUCCUGGCAAUCUAAUUAGUUAAUACUGAACAUCGACAAAUGAUCGAGAUUAAAGUAUAGCAGAAAAAUCCGUGAAUAAGGGAUCUUUUUUGCCAUGUAUUAUCAGUUAAUAUGUAAUCAAGCUUAUUUGCAAAGUAGGAUGAUCGUGAGACAUGUAACUCACAUAAUUAUAUUCGAUAGCGUUUGUAUAGCGUUGCUUUUUGUGCACUUUACGGAUUUGAUAAUAGUUUAUAAGGAGAACAUUUAAAUGAAUCGGGAGAACUCUUAUACAAGUUGCAAUAAAUGAGUCACAGGC